rnacentral:rRNA from 1 species
AACGAACGCUGGCGGCAUGCCUAAUACAUGCAAGUCGAACGAGAUCUUCGGGUCUAGUGGCGCACGGGUGCGUAACGCGUGGGAAUCUGCCCUUUGGUUCGGAAUAACAGUUGGAAACGACUGCUAAUACCGGAUGAUGACGAAAGUCCAAAGAUUUAUCGCCAGAGGAUGAGCCCGCGUAGGAUUAGCUAGUUGGUGUGGUAAAGGCGCACCAAGGCGACGAUCCUUAGCUGGUCUGAGAGGAUGAUCAGCCACACUGGGACUGAGACACGGCCCAGACUCCUACGGGAGGCAGCAGUGGGGAAUAUUGGACAAUGGGCGAAAGCCUGAUCCAGCAAUGCCGCGUGAGUGAUGAAGGCCUUAGGGUUGUAAAGCUCUUUUACCCGGGAUGAUAAUGACAGUACCGGGAGAAUAAGCCCCGGCUAACUCCGUGCCAGCCGCCGCAGUAA